AGGAGGGUGUAUAUAUUUGUGAAGGAGAUUCUGCUGAAUUUAAUGCAUUGGAUUGGUGGAAGUCAAUGAACUUGAAGUUUAGAGUAUUAUCCAAAAUGGCAUGUGAAAUCUUAUCAAUUCCAAUCACAACGGUUGCUUCAGAGUCAACAUUUAGUGCUGGUGGUAGGGUUAUUGAUACAUAUCGGGCAUCUUUAGGGACCGAUACUGUCCAAAUGCUACUUUGUGGAAGUGAUUGGUUGCGUAAAUAAUAUGAUAUGAAAAGAAAGCCAAAAUGCCCGAAGAUGGGAAG